UACGUAGGGUGCAAGCGUUAAUCGGAAUUAGCUGGGCGUAAAGCGUGCGCAGGCGGUGAUGUAAGACAGAUGUGAAAUCCCCGGGCUCAACUUGGGAACUGCAUUUGUGACUGCAUCGCUGGAGUGCGGCAGAGGGGAUGGAAUUCCGCGUGUAGCAGUGAAAUGCGUAGAUAUGCGGAGGAACACCGAUGGCGAAGGCAAUCCCCUGGGCCUGCACUGACGCUCAUGCACGAAAGCGUGGGGAGCAAACAGGA
rnacentral:rRNA from 1 species